ensembl:lncRNA
CGCGUGUAUGUGUGAAUGCGCACACGUCUACGUGUGAGAGCGCGGGUCAAUAAGUUAGCGAUCAGGAAUGAGAGAGAACAGGAGCUACCGUAAAGGCUAAUGUAGAAACGCAAGAAAAUGUAUGCGGCGUAUAAUGCUGGGCAUACACUGUGCGAUUUUGGCCCAUUUUGAGCCCAUUUUUCAGUCAGUCAGACCGUUUUGGUGAUCGGCCCGAGUUUCGCCUUCAUCGUGUGUCGUGCAACGUGUAGUAUACAUCGGGUAACGAGAAGCGAUUAACAAACCAGCUCCCGAUCAUCAAUCGUUUGGUCGUAAGAAAAUCAAACCUGUUUGAAAUGAAGUCGGCCGUCAUGAGGGUGUCAACGCAGCCUCCCACACUGAAAUGAAAGUGAAAAGAUGGAGCAGCACGGCAGUGCAGCGUGUGAUCUGGACACAAGCGAUGGAGGCACAACAUGUAGAACUUUGGCAAGCUCAUCUGAGCCUUUUCGAUGUGGCCUCACAAAAUUAUCACGACACAACAACCGUGAAAAUAGUUGGAUUGUCACUGCUGCUCAAUCACAGCUGCCUGGUCAAUGUUUUUCAUUAGCAAUUUAGCAAAGUUGAUGGUGGUGGUGUGCGUGUCAGUUAAAGACGGAGAAGGAGAGCGAGAGACAGAUUUUGUGUUAUAACCUUCAUGUUAGGGAUGCACAGUGUGAGCACUCAGGUCGCAGACCCUGCAUCGUGACCUACGAACUUCUAACCCCUGCGAGUCAAUCGUACAGUUUGAGCAGGAGCUGAAAAACGCGACUGAAAAAAUCGCACAGUGUAUGCCCAGCUUAAGAGGCGGCUGACUUGACCACGGUGUAAAAACUGCCGUCCUUACCGGAAGUCACUGUCUGAGUAAACACCAUAACAGCCGGGAGUUUCUGUUAUAGUAAGUGAAAAGUUAAGUUUCAUAUUCAUUUUCCGGGACAUCAACUGCUGUCUAUGGCGGCAAAAGAGACUUGUGGCGUGUAAAAUGUGGAACCAAAAGGGGCAUCCUAGAUGUAGAGAAGUUGAAAAAAGGUGAGGCAUGUAUUGAGUAUAAAGGCUGCUUGUACAGUCCACCUGAGUUUGAGAAGCUUGCAGGAAAAGAGCCAUGUAGAAAAUGGAAGUCAACUAUUUUCUACAAUGAACUACCUCUGCAGUUUUGGUUUGAGGAAGGCUAUCUAACCACUACAGGAUAUAGACCAAAGAAAAAAAAACGAAAAUCAUGCGACUCAACAGAAGAAAGUGAGGAAGAUCAUGUUGACGAUGAAGAUGAGGAUGAAGAACGGGAAGAUGAGCAUAUGGAUGAAGAGGAUGUUGGUGGUGAUGAGUCUAGCAGUGAGGAUGAUGAGGAUGAAGAAAGUGAUAAUGAUGAAGACGAGACUGCGCCUGCUGUUGCCUCUAACCAUACUGACAGCAGUGAUAUCAAAGAGAGAGUAACAGCUACAAUUCCAACACCUGGAAAACAUGCAUUACAGAUGAAAGAAGUAAAGGGUAUCAUUAACAUCCUUCCUGAGAAGACUAGACAUCAUCCUGACAUGCCAAGAUCUGAAGUCACUGAAAAUCCCAGAGAUGUGGCAAAAAACACAGCAAUCAAACAGCAAAAUGUUAACAAAGAACCUGAAAAGAAACGGAAGAAGACAACAAGCAGCACAAUUUCGACACCUGUGAAACCUGCACUAAAGAUCAAAGAAGAAAAGGGUGUCGUUAAUAGCCUUCCUGAGAGAGCAAGAGAUCAUCCUGACAUGACAAGAUCUGAGGUCACUGAAAAUCCCAGAGAUGUGGCAAAAAACACAGCAAUCAAACAGCAAAAUGUUAAGAAACAACCUGAAAAGAAACUGAAGAAGACAACAAGCAGCACAAUUUCGACACCUGUGAAACCUGCACUAAAGAUCAAAGAAGUAAAGGGCGUCGUUAAUAGCCUUCCUGAGAAGGCUAGACAUCAUCCUGACACGACAAGAUCUGAAGUCACUGAAAAUCCCAGAGAUGUGGCAAAAAACACAGCAAUCAAACAGCAAAAUGUUAAGAAACAACCUGAAGAGGAACUGAAGAAGACAACAAGCAGCACAAUUUCGACACUUGUGAAACCUGCACUAAAGAUCAAAGAAGUAAAGGGUGUGAUUAAAUUCCUUCCUGAGAAGACUAGAGAUCAUCCUGACACGACAAGAUCUGAGGUCACUGAAAAUCCCAGAGAUGUGGCAAAAAACACAGCAAUCAAACAGCAAAAUGUUAAGAAACAACCUGAAGAGGAACCGAAGAAGACAACAAGCAGCACAAUUUCAACACCUGUGAAACCUGCACUAAAGAUCAAAGAAGUAAAGGGCGUCGUUAAUAGCCUUCCUGAGAGAGCAAGAGAUCAUCCUGACAUGACAAGAUCUGAGGUCACUGAAAAUCCCAGAGAUGUGGCAAAAAACACACCAAUCAAACAGCAAAAUGUUAAGAAACAACCUGAAGAGGAACUGCAAGAACGCAAGGAAGAUCAUGUUGAACAUGAAGAUGAGGAUGAAGAACAGGAAGAUGAGCAUAUAGAUGAAGAUGAUGUUGGUGAAGAUGAGCCUAGAGCUGAGAGAGAUGAGGAUGAAGAAGGUGAUAUUGAUGAAGUCGAGACUGCGCCUGCUGUUGCCUCUAACCAUACUGACAGCAGUGAUAUCAAAGAGAGAGUAACAGAUACAAUUCCAACACCUGGAAAACAUGCAUUAGAGAUGAAAGAAGUAAAGGGUAUCAUUAACAUCCUUCCUGAGAAAGCUAUAGAUCAUCCUGGCAUGCCAAGAUCUGAAUUCUCUGGAAAUAACAGAGAUGUUGCAACAAACACAGCAAUCAAACAGCUGAAUGUCAAGAAAGAACCUGAAGAGGAACUGAAAGAACGCAAGGAAGAUCAUGUUGAACAUGAAGAUGAGGAUGAGGAACAGGAAGAUGAGCAUAUAGAUGAAGAUGAUGUUGGUGAAGAUGAGCCUAGAGCUGAGAAAGAUAAGGAUGAAGAAGGUGAUAUUGAUGAAGUCGAGACUGCGCCUGCUGUUGCCUCUAACCAUACUGACAGCAGUGAUAUCAAAGAGAGAGUAACAGCUACAAUUCCAACACCUGGAAAACAUGCAUUAGAGAUGAAAGAAGUAAAGGGUAUCAUUAACAUCCUUCCUGAGAAGACUAGACAUCAUCCUGACAUGCCAAGAUCUGAAGUCAGUGGAAAUAACAAAGAUGUGGCAAAAAACACAGCAAUCAAACAGCAAAAUGUUAAACAACCUGAAGAGGAACUGAAGAAGACAACAAGCAGCACAAUUUCAACACCUGUGAAACCUGCACUAAAGAUCAAAGAAGAAAAGGGUGUCGUUAAUAGCCUUCCUGAGAGAGCAAGAGAUCAUCCUGACAUGACAAGAUCUGAGGUCACUGAAAAUCCCAGAGAUGUGGCAAAAAACACACCAAUCAAACAGCAAAAUGUUAAGAAACAACCUGAAGAGGAACUGCAAGAACGCAAGGAAGAUCAUGUUGAACAUGAAGAUGAGGAUGAGGAACAGGAAGAUGAGCAUAUAGAUGAAGAUGAUGUUGGUGAAGAUGAGCCUAGAGCUGAGAAAGAUGAGGAUGAAGAAGGUGAUAAUGAUGAAGACAAGAGUGUGCCUUCUGUUGCCUCUAACCAUACUGACAGCAGUGAUAUCAAAGAGAGAGUAACAGCUACAAUUCCAACACCUGGACAACAUGCAUUAGAGAUGAAAGAAGUAAAGGGUAUCAUUAACAUCCUUCCUGAGAAGACUAGACAUCAUCCUGACAUGCCAAGAUCUGAAGUCAGUGGAAAUAACAAAGAUGUGGCAAAAAACACAGCAAUCAAACAGCAAAAUGUUAAACAACCUGAAAAGAAACGGAAGAAGACAACAAGCAGCACAAUUUCAACACCUGUGAAACCUGCACUAAAGAUCAAAGAAGUAAAGGGUGUCGUUAAUAGCCUUCCUGAGAAAGCUGGAGAUCAUCCUGACAUGACAAGAUCUGAGGUCACUGAAAAUCCCAGAGAUGUGGCAAAAAACACAGCAAUCAAACAGCAAAAUGUUAAGAAACAACCUGAAGAGAAACUGCGUCCUUCCUGUGAAGCUCUGCCCGUGUCAGAUGAGUGUGAACAUAAAGAUGUCCCCUGCUCUGGCCACAGUGUAGCUGAAGUACAAUCCAUGAUGCCAGAGAUGAGUGUGGACAUGUCAGAGGCCCGGUUGCCUGGGCCCUCAGCCAGCUCUGGCUUGAAUACAAUGGAUCUUGAUCAACUGAAGAGGAAAAAAAUAAAAAUGCAACUGAAGGUUUUAAAAUUACAAGAAGAGUAUUACACUUUGAAAAUAAAAGAACUGAAAAAAUGAGGAUUAAUGUAAAGCUGACAUUGCAGACAAUAAAUUAAAAGAUCGCUGUUUACAUCCACAAACUGACACACGUUAUCUGGAGGUUUCUUGGGUGGAAUGUUACUUUUGACAAAAGCUACAAAAUCAAGUGUGCUGCAUUUAUACACCGUACUUUGUCGUUGCUGUACUCAGGUUUCCUUUAGUAUUGUUGAUUACCAUGUUUUACUUUGUUAUUAGAAUUAAACAAAUAGCUGAUAUUUCCUUCCUGUAAAAUGUGAAUAAACAAUAUUGAUGCUUUUUAUCUGUAAAUUUUGCAAGUGUUAUGAAACUGUGUUUCCUUUGGACUUUGCCCAACCUGUAGUAAUAGUUGUAAGAAGUAGCCUUUAAACAGCAUCGUGCAAUGUCUUGAGCCACAGCUCAUUUCUUUAUGUUUUGCUUCCAAGGAGCAAGAACUUUUAGAAAUUUGCAAGAAAAUAACAAUAUGUGCUCUUUUACUUUGAAGCAUUGUUAGUAAUACAUCAAUCAUAUCUGUGACAGAUGAGCAUAACUGUUUAAAUUCCAAAGAAAUUAGACCCCCCCAAAAAAUUCAUGUAAAUUUGUCCAACCAUAAUGAGAAAAUAUGAAAUGAAUAAAGGAGAGUUACAGUGAUGUGCAAAAGUCUUGAGCCAGGACACGUCAUGCAGAGAUAUGUUAAGUGUCCAGCUAAUAGAUCUUUGGGCAUCAGUUGGUUCCACAAUAAAAAAAAUUCUGCCUAUCA